rnacentral:lncRNA from 1 species
GCCUCCAUUGUACCACCGUGAAGUCCACUUGGCCACACCAAUCCCAUUGGUAGCCGCACAUCCCGAGCAACUCCAUAGAUAGGCCGUGCCUUCGUGUUGACGCCUUUAUCCACCUUGUUCUUUUUGAGUUGGAGGCUAACCGCUUCGCCUCCUUGACUCAAUAAAAUUGUGAGAAGCGCCCGGCAUCAUCAAAGCACUAGUGUUGAACCGCAUACCUUUGCCCCCCCUUUUCCACAUACAUGCCCCCUUCCUGGCAGCCUUGGUUGCCCACCUUGACUUGGAUUUGCAUUGAGCAAUCGUAUGAUCCCACUUUGGCUUCCUCUUGGCGGGGCUCUUCCUCGUCAUCCCGGAUGAGGCCGCUAGCUUGCUCUUUGUAGGCAAUACCUAGCAAAGUUUUUGCCCCGGUCCGCAUAAGAAACAUGAGAUCUUGGGUUUGGUCGCCAUUCCUCUUGCCUUUGUUGAAUCGACUAUGUCUCGGAGAGGACGAUUUUGUUCUCCCUCAUGGUCUCCCCCCACCUAUAUCAAUGGUUAGACUUUGCGAAAAUUGGGCAUAAAAAGAGAGGACUCCCUCCUUGAAGUCUAUUAAAGACUCCACAAUAAGAUGGCCGUUGCAAGAUCUUGUGGUCAUCGACGUUGCACUUCAAGCUUUUUUUGCCAAGAUUGUAACCCAUCAAUAAAAGUGAAAAGAGACUCCUUCUCGGUCAUGUUUUCCGGAAUUUCUAGGCAUAGUCGGAGACUCUACCCCAUAAUCCUAAUGUGCUCUUGUGGGGAGGCUCGCAAUCUGUGCCCUAGCUCAUGCUCUGAAUUUUCGGAUAAAAGUGCCGCUUGAUUUCCUCUUGAAAUCUCCCAUGUAGCUAUGGGUGCGUUCCACGUUCCAUAUCCGCUUGCCCGCUUCCUCACCAUAGCGUGGCCUCAUCCGAGAGGACAGAGAGGCCGCUUUAAUCUUCUUAUUUUCUUCAUGUAUGUCGGUGGCCUCAAAAUUAGUUAUCCAAGUCCCAAAAGAAAUUAUCUAACUCUCUGCAUUCCUCGACCCAUUGUAACUCUUGGGUCUUGGAAUUGUCCACUAAGGAGAGGGAGAGGAAGAACGGGUACCUUGCGUAACUGCCAUCUUGCACAAGGGACCAAUCACCCUUGACUUCCUUCAUAGCGGCGAGUCUCGGCCUGGAGCUGAUCUUUGAAGUAUCCAUUUGCGCCUCCAUGAUUCGGCCAACGAGUUGAGGAUUCCUUGCAUCUCCUAUGGAACUCCUCAUUCGCCCUCGAUCCGUCAUGUGUUGAUCCAUUCCUCAACUUUGUCCCGAUUGUCAGCCUGGCAAACUCCAACCCGUUGGAGUCCUUGCCUCCAGGAAGCCAUGAUGUCCGCGGACUUCCCUCGUUUUCCUUGGCGGUGGAGGGAGAAUUAUCCCUCUGACGCCCUCCAUGUUCGGACACCUCCAAGCUGUUGCCCAGACUAGCCUUUGGGAAUCAAAGCUUUGAUACCACUUGUUCACGGGCUUCUUGAAUUGGAUGCCUCGACCGUUGCGGAACUUAGUCGCUUGUGCUACAAAAAUCGAUAAGAAGCCAAAGACAAACAACCGAAAGAAGGCUAAGUGAGCAAAGGAGGCAACAAGAAAGCUAGAGAGAGAGAUAUCUUGAGAAUGCCUUCUAUUCCAAAACUUGGAUGUUUCAAUGAAGGGGUUUUGUCCCUAUUUAUACAAGUAAUGAUCUCUAGAAUGUUCUACCAUGACCCUAGAUAAUUCUAUGUACAAGGAUCCUUCCUAUAAGCUUCCACCAUAUUCCUAGAAUACUCAACCCUCCUUCCACAUGUGGUAAGAAUUCUAGAUCCUUCUCCACGUCCGGAAGACCCCAUGAAGACCUAAGAUGUUUAGGCUUGUUGGGGGACUUUGUCCCUCCAUGGGCCUAAUUUGCUGGCCAAUCAAGGUGGGCUUGUAACAUUCUCCCCCCACCCAAUUGCUCGCCCCUCUUCCGCCGCCCUCGAAAUUUGCCAGUCUUGUCCCCGAUGGCCGUAAGUACCUCCCUUGGGGUGUUUUGUCCCUUCGACUGGAUCCAAUGACACGAGUUGUCCUCCCCCAUGGUUGUCCCUCGAAUCUUUUGGCUUGGAGUUUUGGGAGGCUUCGCUGCCGUUUUCUUGCCUCCCCAUCUUCUUCAUCCUUUUGGCCCGCCUUUGUCCAUGUCGGCAUUCCACCCCUUUCCGACUUUGAAAGCCUCCCGGGCCUCUGUUAAUAAUGGCGGCAGUAAUUUUUAGCACUUGUCUCCUCCUUCGAGAUUGCCUGGCGGAUAAGUCUUGGACUUUUCAACAUGCUUUCCCCUCCCAAUGGUACCAUACUGCGCGCCAUUCACCACCAUGAUGGCACAUGGUUCGUGGCGAGGGGAUGGGGAAUGCUGCCACCCAAUCCAAAACUUCAUCCCCAACACAUGGGGUAGUCAUCCAUUGUCCACCGUGAAGUCCACUUUUGCCACACCCAUCCCAUGUGUAAGCCGCCAUAUCCCGAGCAACUCCAUAGCUAGGCCGUGCCUUCGUGUUGACGGCCUUUCUCCACCCUUGUUCUUCUUUGAGUUGGAGCUUAAAAACCAACCGCUUCGCCUCCUUGACUUCAAUAAAAUUGUGAGAAGCGCCCCCCCCGGCCCAUCAUCAAAGCACGCGUGUUGAAACCGCAUACCUUUCGUCCACAUACUAUGCGCCCCUUCCUUGGCGCCUUGGUCUUGCCCACCUUGACUUGGAUUGAUUUGAGGCAAGCGUAAUGAUCCCACUUUGGCUUCUCUCUUGGCGGGGCUCUUCCUCGUCAUCCCGAUGAGGGCCGCUAUCUUUGGCUCUUUGUAGGCAAUACCUAGCACAGUGAUUGCCGCCAGUCGGCAUAAGAAACAUGAUAGCUUGGGUUUUGUCCGCCAUUUUCCUCUUGCCUUUGUUGGAAUCGACUAUGGUCUCGGAGAGGACGACUUUUGUUUCUCCCUCAUGGUCUCCCCCCACCUAUAUCAUGGUUGUACUUUUCAAAGGGCAUAAAAGAGGAAGGACUCACCUUCUUGAAGUCUGAUUAAAAGACUCCACUAGAGAUGGCCGUUGCAAGAUCUUGUUGUCCAUUCGACGUUGCACGUCAAGCUUUGCCCAAAUUGGUAACCCACAAUAAAAGUGAAAGAAUCCUUCUCGUUCAUUGGUCCGGAAUUUCUAGCAUAAGCUCGGAGAACUCUUCACAUAAUCCCUAAUGGUGCCUCUUGUGGGCGAGGCGUCGUCAAUCUUGCCCCUAGCUUCAUGCUCUUAAUAUUUAUCGGAUUAAAAUGGCCCGCUUGAUUCCCUCUUGAAUCUUCCCAUGUAGCUAUGGUGCCUUCCACGUUCCAUAUCCGCGUGCCCCUCCUCCACCAUAGCGUGGCCGCAUCCGAGAGGAAGAUAGGGGCCGCUUUAAUCUUCCUUAUUUUCUUCAUGUAUGUCGGUGGCCCCUCAAAAUAUUGAUCCCAUUCCGCAAAAGAAAUUAUCUAAAACUCUCUGCAUUCCUCGACCGCAUUGUAACUCUUGGGUCUUGGAAUGUCCACCUUAAGUAGAGGGAGAGGAAGAAAGGGUCCUUGCGUAACUCUGCCUCUUGCACAAGGACAAUCACCCUGACUUCCUUCUAGCGGCGAUCUCGGCUGGAGCGAGUCUUUGAGAUAUCCCAUUUGCGCCUUCCAUGAUCGGCCAACGAGUUGAGGAUUCCUUGCAUCUCCUAUGGAACUCCUCAUUUCCGCCCCGAGUCCGUCGAUGUGUUGAAUCCAUUUUCCUCUAACUUUGUCCCGAUGUCAGCCAUGGCAACUCCACCCGUUGGGAGUCUUGCCUCCCAAGAAGCCAUGAUGUCCGCGGACUUCCCUCGUUUUCCUGCCGGUGGGAGGGAAGAUUAAUCCUCUCAUGACCGCCUCCCUCCAUGUUCGGACCCUCCGAAGCUGUUGCCAUUACUUAGCUUUGGGCAUCAAGCUUUGAUACACACUUGGUCACGGCUUAGAAUUCGGAUGCCUCGACCCGUG